CGCUCAGAACACCCUUCCACGUGUUUUGAGAGAGGCUGCGCAGAGUGCAGUUCUGAGCGGGCUGUUGCUGUUCAAGGAGGACACCAGCAGGAUAUGUUGGUUGUCCUCGGGGCGUACUCAACCCCUGCCUUCACCACUCCCUGAGAAGGAAGAUUGCUCUGCACUCCCAGACCUCAAGAGAACCUGUGUAAAAGCAGUCUGUCCCACAGCCUGAGGCCACAGCAAGCACAGAGGACUCAUGGAGUAGCCUCUGAGGCCGGCACCUCUUCCUUCAAUGGGAAAGGAAAACUGUAGUGCAGAGAGGACACCCAAGGCCAUUUCUGUAGAAGAGCCUCACCUUGAUCGCAUCAAGUCUAUAAACUCAAGCUGAUGAAGCCUCGGGACAACGCAAAACAAAUCCCAUUACACAACUGGAUCUGACAAAAUUCGGCAACCUCCUGGCUGCUGGGCUUUUUCUCUGUCAUGGCGGGGCUCCAGAGUACAGUGGAAUCCAGUUCUUCCAUGCUCCAGCUUGGUGUUUGUGGCAUAGGAUGGACCAAAGUCUGGCUUCUGAAGUAAGAGCAGGGGGUGACACAGAGCCCUGGGCUUUCUUACAAGGACAGAAGAAGAGAAGUUGAGAUGAGCUUACAGACUUGUACCACUGUGCUCUGCCUUCUGUGGUGCUGAGGAUGAAACCUAGGGAGGCCUGCCUGCCAAGCAAUCCCUACAGACUGCGUUGCAUCCCUUGCCCGGUUUUAUUUCCCGAAACUUAUCUUUGAACCUGCACAUGCCUGGGUGCACCAAGCUGGACCAGGGAAGAACUACUUGGAUGGAAGCAAAGAAGGGGAUGACUCACUCCCAUAAGCCCUCUCCAGGUUACCUGGUACAGGAGGUGGCAUUCCUUAAAAAUUCUUAACCUGAUGGACUUGGUCAGCAAGCCACCAAGGUGACCUCUCUGCUGGGUUGUGGCAAGCGCUCUCAUCUUGAUUUUACCAGGGGAACCUGCCAGAGCCCUAGGGGGACUCCAGCUGAGGGCCACUCAGAGGAAGUGUCUGGGCACAGCUCUUGGAGGCCUGGAAGGCCUGAGUAGAAGCCCUGGCUGUCCACAGUCCAAGUUGCCUGGCCAGCCUGCCCAUCCAUACUGGCUACAGUUUCCACGCUGACCAUGGCCCAGGCCCCAAACUGCCCUUUAACUCCUCAAGUAAUCGUAAGCCGUCAACAUAGUCACUGCUUGAUUAAAGUUCAUGGGUUUAAUAGAUCAUUAAAAAAAAAAUCAAAUUACUCCUACCACAGGCCCAGCCACCUGGCCCGCUGCCCCUGGUGCGGCAGUGCUAGGCCAGGCUCGCCAAGGCCAGGCCGGCCCGAGGUUCCUGCCUAUUCCCGGAGGACGCCUGCAGCCAGCGGGCCGGCAUUCUCAGCUGCAUUUAAUCUGCCCUGAGACAGGCUGGCGAUGAGGAGAGGCGAGGGGCAAGGCACGGGAGGCUUUGUUCGCUGGGUAACCUGGAGCAGGGCCAGCCUGGAGGCGCUCCCUGGGCAGCAGAAGUCUGUUCCAAUUAAUCGUGUUUAACCAUUCUAAUCACACUUUAGCACAUUAAUCCUAUUUUCAAUCCAAAACACAUCUGAAGCAGCGGCAUGUGGGCCUUUUUACGGGAACCGCAAAUCAGAUGUAACGGAGAGGCGCGGGGCCCUCGUUCGCGCUGCACUUUCACUGAACUUAAACUUAAUAAAAUA